rnacentral:tRNA from 1 species
UCCACUACUCAGUUGGUAGAGUACAAAGCUCUUAACCUUAUGUAUGGACAUGGGUUCAAGCCCCAUGGUGGAG